rnacentral:rRNA from 1 species
CCUACGGGUGGCAGCAGUGGGGAAUAUUGCACAAUGGGGGAAACCCUGAUGCAGCGACGCCGCGUGAGUGAAGAAGUAUUUCGGUAUGUAAAGCUCUAUCAGCAGGGAAGAAAAAAGACGGUACCUGACUAAGAAGCCCCGGCUAACUACGUGCCAGCAGCCGCGGUAAGACGUAGGGGGCAAGCGUUAUCCGGAUUUACUGGGUGGAAAGGGAGCGUAGACGGUAUGGCAAGUCUGAAGUGAAAGCCCAGGGCUUAACCCUGGGACUGCUUUGGAAACUGUUAGACUAGAGUGCUGGAGAGGUAAGUGGAAUUCCUAGUGUAGCGGUGAAAUGCGUAGAUAUUAGGAGGAACACCAGUGGCGAAGGCGGCUUACUGGACAGUAACUGACGUUGAGGCUCGAAAGCGUGGGGAGCAAACAGGAUUAGAUACCCGAGUAGUC